rnacentral:rRNA from 1 species
GACGAACGCUGGCGGCGUGCUUAACACAUGCAAGUCGAACGGAAAGGCCCUGCUUUUGUGGGGUGCUCGAGUGGCGAACGGGUGAGUAACACGUGUGUAACCUGCCCUUUACUUUGGGAUAACUUCAGGAAACUGGUGCUAAUACCGGAUAGGAUCUCCUGCUUCAUGGUGGGGGUUGGUAAGUUUCGGCGGUUGGGGAUGGACUCGCGGCUUAUCAGCUUGUUUGUGUGGUAGUUGCUUACCAAGGCUUUGACGGGUAGGCGGCCUGAGAGGGUGACCGGCAACAUUGGGACUGAGAUACGGCACAGACUCGAACGGGAGGCAGCAGUGGGGAAUAUUGCAGAAUGGGAGGAAGCCUGAGGAAGAAACGCCGCGUGCGGGAUGACGGCCUUCGGGUUGUAAACCGAUGUCGCAUGUGACGAAGAGUGAGUGACGGUAAUGGGUAAAGAAGCAACGGCUAACUACGUG